GUGGGUAACCUGCCCUGUACAGGGGGAUAACAGCUGGAAACGGCUGCUAAUACCGCAUAAGCGCACGAGGAGACAUCUCCUAGUGUGAAAAACUCCGGUGGUACAGGAUGGGCCCGCGUCUGAUUAGCUGGUUGGCAGGGUAACGGCCUACCAAGGCAACGAUCAGUAGCCGGUCUGAGAGGAUGAACGGCCACAUUGGAACUGAGACACGGUCCAAACUCCUACGGGAGGCAGCAGUGGGGAAUAUUGCACAAUGGGGGAAACCCUGAUGCAGCAACGCCGCGUGAGUGAAGAAGUAUUUCGGUAUGUAAAGCUCUAUCAGCAGGGAAGAUAAUGACGGUACCUGACUAAGAAGCUCCGGCUAAAUACGUGCCAGCAGCCGCGGUAAUACGUAUGGAGCAAGCGUUAUCCGGAUUUACUGGGUGUAAAGGGUGCGUAGGUGGCAGUGCAAGUCAGAUGUGAAAGGCCGGGGCUCAACCCCGGAGCUGCAUUUGAAACUGCAUAGCUAGAGUACAGGAGAGGCAGGCGGAAUUCCUAGUGUAGCGGUGAAAUGCGUAGAUAUUAGGAGGAACACCAGUGGCGAAGGCGGCCUGCUGGACUGUUACUGACACUGAGGCACGAAAGCGUGGGGAGCAA
rnacentral:rRNA from 1 species